GAAUUGUUUGAGUUUUGAUUUGGUUCCUCUAGUCUCAACAAGGGUUUCGUUUUAAUUUAGUUUCUAUUUGGAAAAUCAAUGGUUUCAAAUUUCAAUUUUGGUCAUGCAAGUCCCAAUUACGGUUUCGUUUUUUCAAACCUAUGGUCUCUGUUUUGGCCCUUUUGGGUUUUCCUUACAUUAGGGUUUCAUCUCAAAUUUUGUUUGGAUUUGGCAAAUCAAUAGUCGUCUUUUUGUUUUUUUGCUUUCUGUAUUUAUUGGUCUCAAUUUUGGUUUAUGUAUACAAAUCUUUGCUCCAUUUACUUUCCACUUAUAGCAACCUGAUUGAUUUCAAUUUUGGUUUUUUUUUUAAAAAAAUUUAUAUUUGAAUAUUUCCUCACUGUUCCAUAUCUGUAUUGGAGCUUUUGUUUCAAGAUUGGAUUGACUUUGCUUGGUUUGGUUUGGUGUCGCUUGGCGUAGUUUAGGCAAGGGUAGUUCCCUGUAUGAGUAAGCCGUUGUUCCAAACCAAUCAAGCUGUUUAGGUUUUUUGCUCUUUUUAGUCAAACUCUUUAGGUUCUUGCUUUUCUCUCUUUGUUUCUUCAAAUCUUUAUUUUUUUUCAUAGGUUGGUUAGGUGUGGCCUUGCUUGGUUUGGUUUAGACAAGAUUGGUUCCUUGCUUGAAUGAAACUGAGAAUUCUAUCUAGUCAAACUUUUUGGGGUUCUUGUGUUCCACUCUUUGUUUUCCAAUUCUGAUAUUUGUUUUUUGUUUUUUUUGUUUUAUUGGUUUGGUUAGGCAUGGCUUGGCUUGGUUUAGGUAAGGGUGGUUCAUUGCUUGAAUAAAACUGAAAAUUUUAUUCUUAUCAAACUCUUUUGGGUUUUUGUGUUUUCUUUCUGUUUUUGGAAUUUUUUAUAAUCGAGUUUUUUUAGAGUUUGGUUUAGUGUGGCUUGGCAUGGUUUAGUCAAGGGUGGUACCUUGCUUUAAUAAAACUGUGAGUUUCACUCUAGUCAAACUCUUUGGGUUUUUGUGUACUCUUUGUUUUCUGAAUUUUGAUAUUCGUGUUUUUUUGGGGUUUGGUUAGGUGUGGCUUGGUUUAGGCAAGGGUGAUACCUUGCUUUAAUAAAACUGUGAGUUUCACUCUAGUCAAACUCUAUUGGGUUUUUGUGUUUUCUUUCUGUUUUCAGAAUUUUUUAUAAUCAAGUUUUUUUAGAGUUUGGUUUGGUGUGGCUUGGCAUGGUUCAGUCAAGGGUGAUACCUUGCUUUAAUAAAACUGUGAGUUUCACUCUAGUCAAACUCUUUGGGUUUUUGUGUUCUCUUUGUUUUCUGAAUUUUGAUUUGAUAUUCAUGUUUUUUUGGGGUUUGGUUCGGUGUGGCUUGGUUUAGGCAAGGGUGGUACCUUGCUUUAAUAAAGCUGUGAGUUUCACUCAAGUCAAACUCUUUUGGGUUUUUGUGUUUUCUUUCUGUUUUCGGAAUUUUUUAUAUUCAAGUUUUUUUAGAGUUUGGUUUGGGGUGGCUUGGCAUGUUUUAGUCAAGGGUGGUACCUUGCUUUAAUAAAACUGUGAGUUUCACUCUAGUCAAACUCUUUGGGUUUUUGUGUAUUCUUCGUUUUCUGAAUUUUGAUAUUCGUGUUUUUUUGGGGUUUGGUUAGGUGUGGCUUGGCUUGGUUUGGGCAAGGGUGGUACCUUGCUUUAAUAAACCUGCUGUGAGUUUCACUCUAGUCAAACUCUUUAGGGUUUAUGUGUCUUCCUUUUGCUUUCGGAAUUUUUUAUAAUCGAGGUCUUUUAGAGUUUGGUUUGGUGUGGCUUGGCAUGGUUUAGUCAAGGGUGAUACCUUGCUUUAAUAAAACUGUGAGUUUCACUCUAGUCAAACUCUUUGGGUUUUUGUGUUCUCUUUGUUUUCUGAAUUUUGAUUUGAUAUUCGUUUUUUUUGGGGUUUGGUUCAGUGUGGCUUGGCUUGGUUUAGGCAAGGGUGGUACCUUGCUUUAAUAAAGCUGUGAGUCACUCAAGUCAAACUCUUUUGGGUUUUUGUGUUUUCUUUCUGUUUUUGAAAUUUUUUAUAAUCGAGUUUUUUUAGAGUUUGGUUUGGGGUGGCUUGGCAUGGUUUAGUCAAGGGUGGUACCUUGCUUUAAUAAAACUUUGAGUUUCACACUUUCACUCUAGUCAAACUCUUUGGGUUUUUGUGUACUCUUUGCUUUCUGAAUUUUGAUAUUCGUGUUUUUUUGGGGUUUGGUUAGGUGUGGCUUGGUUUGGUUUAGGCAAGGGUGGUACCUUGCUUUAAUAAAACUGUGAAUUUCACACUAGUCAAACUCUUUGGCAAUGGGGGUUCCUCGCAUGAAUAAGUUAAACCAAUCAAGCUGUUUGGGGUUUUUUUGUUCCAUUUUUUUAUAAUAAUGUAACGUUUUCUUAGGGUUUGGUUCAAUGUGGCAUGACUUAGUAUAGGCAGGGUGAUUCCUUGCUUGAAUGUAACUUAGAAUUUCACUUUAGUCAAACUCUUCGAGUUCUUGCUUUUUUUUUUUUCUCUUUGUUUUUCAAAUCUUGAUAUUUCACCUUUUUAGGUUUUGGUUAGGGUUUUGCUUGGUUUAGACAAUGGUGGUUCCUUGCAUGAGUUAAAAUGAAAAUUUCACUCUUUUCAAGCUCUUUGGAUUUUACUUUCUCUUUGUUUAGCAAUGUUGAUGAUCAUGUUUUUUUAGGGGUUGGGUAUGGUGUGGUUUGGUUUAGGCAAGGGUUCCUUGCAUAAACAAAACCGAGAAUUUCAUGCCAAAAACGCGCAAAAGUUUUUUGCAAAACAAAUAAAGCUGUCUGUUUUUUAUUUUCUCCAUUCGUUUUUCAGAAUUUUGUAAUCGCGUUUUUUGGAAUUUGGUUUGUUGUGGCUUUAGCUUUAGGUAAAGGGCGGUUCAUGCUAGUAACAUUUUGAUGUAUUAUAUAUUAUUAAUCACUCUUUAUGGGGAAGAAAAACUAAGUAGCUGGUAAGGUUGGACAAUACGACGUUCAGUCUCUAAGUCUCAGUGUCAACCUGAAUGGAGAAUUUGAACAUAUCCUGGUCCAGACAGUUUGAAGCUGAUGGUGCAGCUAGCAGUCUUAAUGAUCAUCCUUCCUCUUCCUCUUCACUUCUCAAAUUCUUUUGUUACUGCCCAGGCAAUGCGCCUUGCACCAAUAGACGUUGAUAACAUGGCCGGAAAUCUGGUUGCAACUUUGUACAUGAGUUGGGCUUCUUUGAUUCAGCUUGGUAUAGGAGAGGUAAGACAAUUGUUUCUUUGGGGAACUGCAAAGAUGUCGUACAUGACUUGAACAUUGUUAAGGACAGAGGUCUCACCAGGGGGGGUAAAGACAUAUAGAAAGUGACUGCAAGAAAUUGUUCAGAAAUGCCCAAAAAUGAGUAAUAAAACAGUUGUACUUGAUGACAACUUGAUAUUUCUUGGUGGAGACUGAUUAUUGAAUUUCUCGAAUGUUGGUACUAAUCAUAUACGACAGCAUGCCAAAUGAAAGUAAAGUGUGUUGCAACACUUGAUAAAGGGGGUGCAGUUUCAUAUUGUGAAAUUCCUCAAGUUUCUGGUCCAUAAGGAACAACCAUAUGCCGUGAGUGAAUUUUACGGCAGUUGUUCGCAUGAAAUUUGUGGAUAGUUAUGGUCUGGCGGGUGAACUUAGAAAACAUCCAUCUAAUUUAGGUGCUUUAACUAGCUCGUUGGAACAGAAACUGAAGAACUUUCGGGAAGUUGACAGCGAAAGAUGCUCGGAUGUGCAUUUGUUGGUGGAUCUAAAGCUUUUGAUAUCAAUGAAGUGACAUAAUGUUCCCAUACCUGCAAAGCUGCAAUCACUUAAGAGAGAAGCUUGCAACCUCUUACAGUAAAAGAGGAUGACGUUAAGAAGUAUUUUUUUGGAAAAACAAGUAGGCGUAAUGAUUCCACUGCACGCAAAAGCAAAGGCUUCUUUAUGAUUCUAAUGGGAUCAGACUCAGCAUGUAGGACAUAAUGCUUCCAUACCUGCAAUCACUUAAGAGAGAAGCUUGCAACCUCUUGCAGUAAAAGGUUGACUUAAUCUCAUAUUCUUUGAGCAAUUGGCGGUUAAGGUCUUAUUUUCUAAGUCUAUCCUCUCUCAUCUCUUCCUCGUCUUUCUGUCUUAUUAUGUGGAUUUGCAUUGUCUUCUUUUAGGGCUUAUAUCUUGAUUCUUUGUAAAAUAUAUUAUUAUUUUAACUUACCUGUCCGGAUUACCGUUUUCUGAUGACAACAAAUUAGGUUGAUGAAUGACCAAGUAUACAAGUUAAUAUGUCUGAUAAUCUGUACUUCGUUAUUGAAUACAUUAGUAAUUUAUCCUUUCUUUAUUGUCUUCCUUAUGUUGUUACUAUUUAGUGAUAGAUGGUUUGUUUAUUUGGAAAUGUUGUAUGGUUUUCAAUGCAGAGGUUUGCUUAUCUGAAAAUGUUUUAUGGAAUGUUGGAAUAGUAUAGUAUGUACUACUUGAAAAUGCUGCUGAGAGUUCAUUAACUUGUUUCUCUGUCUUCUCUGCACCUGUUUUAUUACUUAUAUCUGUGGCAGCUUUUAUGCACAAAGGAGACCCCAUUUUUCUAUGCAUGUACAAUUUGAGUUAUCCGACUCCUACAGCUAAUUGGUUGGUUACUUGGUUAGCAUUGAAAAUUAGGGUUUUCCUGUAUGAACUAUAGCAGGAAGGACUUAUCAGAUGGCUUUGUUUCACUGUUGCAGACUCGGCAUGUAGGGUAUGCGUUCAUCUCUAUUGUUUUGGUAACUAUUUUUGCUGUCAGAAAUUAAGAAGUAGAAACUAUAAUUUGUCUGGUGAAUAUAUACAACUAAAGGCCACACAUGUUUACUCUUCUUGUCAUUUUUAGUUAUUGAGAAACUAAAGCUAAAUUGUUUUCAAGAUGCUCCUAAAUUAAGAUCUGAUUGAUGAGGAUUUAGAAAUACAACCAAUGGUAGUACAUAAAAUAUCUGCUAAGUGCAAGUCUUUUACAUCUUCUUAUCUCACCUGCAUCUUUGAACCCCUUAAUUCUUUUUUUUUUCCUCGGCCUUCAACAACAUAUAAAACCACCUUUAUUUUUGUUGUUGUCUCUGUUACAAAAAGAGGUGUUAAUGUAGGGACGUUAUUUGGACAUUUGACAUUGGCUAAGCUAAUGAUGACGUUCUUUCUUUUGUACUUGCUGAAUGUGCAUGCCUUAGCAUUGUUUCGACUUCUGUGGUAGAUUGUUGUUGGUUAUGCAUGUGUGUGUGAUAUGUAACAUUGUCAUUUACUUUUUAGGGGAUUACUCGGGUAUCUUGAAAGGGAGGUUUUUUUUUGAAUUUCUGUAUUUGCUUUGAGAUAUUUCCUUCUUUGAUGAUAUGUUUGUUAUCUUUAUGAUAACAAAGCUGUAUUUAAUGUUCAUCAAUCGACAAGUUGAACCAUUGAAACCUGUAUUUAUCUGUUUGUGGUUUAGGCUCUCAAAUUUAUUUAUUUUUUGUUUAUUUCAUGUCUUCCUUUAUAUAACAAGGGAUAGAAAAUUAUGAUAAAAAUGAAAACUUAUUCUACUUUAUUGGCGGUGGAUUUCUUCUGACGUGAUUUUAUUAUUCAUUUCUGGUAAGGAUGAUAAUAUUCUUGUGGGUUAAUACAAAUAUUUAUAAAAAUACCAGUUUUGGAAUGAUCCAUGUUAUGGAACCAUGACAAUCUAUUUGUAUAGCAAUAAGAUUAGGCCCUCUUUAACGGCUGUACACAGUUUUAAGAAGCUAAUGACCACUAGUCUUUUUUUUCCUGGACUUUUUUUUACCCUUUCGAAUUGUUCUCUCAAACCUUCACUAUCUGCCAUGUUUUGAGGGUGCUGAUGUUGUUAGUGUCGUUAAUCUAAGAAAUAGUUUUAGGAAGUGUCGAGAGUAGCUAGAGCAAAAUUUUCGGUUAGGUGUCAAAACAAAUUUUUUUAUUUCAAACUGAAAGGUGAAAAAAUUUUGGUUAUCAUUUUAGAAAAUUAUUCGAACGGAAAAAAUAUGUUUUCUGCAAAAAAAAAAGAACGUAAGAUUUGCAUAAAAAUUACAAAUGAAUGGUUUCGGGUCUAUUUGAUUUUGUUGAGUUUCGCGCCUUUUUUAAAGGGGAAAAAAAAAACUCUAGUAUAAAGGACCACUGUUGGGCCUUGCCUGAGACAAUCAAAACCCCGGAAGAUUACAAACUGGAGCCAGAAUGGGCCCAUUGCUAUAGAAGCCCAAUGACCUGAUAAACUUUCCAAUAUUUAAGCUUCUAGAAUAGGUAAUGUGUGUGAGAUAUAUAUAUAUAUAUAUAUAUAUAUAUAUAUAUAUGCCAAUUUUGAGCUUGUAUUCCCAAAGGUUGUAUGGUGCUCAUUACAUUGUCAUUGGAUAUGAACCUGUGAGGCUGGUGUGCAUUCAGCUUUCAGUGGAUGUUUAUUCUACCUUCGUUACUAUAAACCAGCUGAAUGCCAUAUCUUCGCCAUAUUAUGACUUACAUGCAGACAUAAUGCUCCCAUACCUGCAAUCACUUAAGAGAGAAGCUUGUAACCUCUUGCGGUAAAAGGUUGACUUAUUCUCAUAUUCUGGUGAGCAAUUGCCGGUUGAGGUCUUAUUCUUUAAGUCAAUAUCAUCUCUCAUCUCUUCCUCUUGUCUUUCUGUCUUAUUAUGUGGAUUUGCAUUGUCUUCUUUUAGGGCUUAUAUCUUGAUGCUUUCUAGAAUAUAUUAUUAUUUAACCUACGUGUCUGGACCUUACCCUUUUCUGGUGACAGCAAACUAGGUUGAUGAAUGACCAAGUAUACAAGUUAAUAUGUCUGAUAAUCUGCACUUUGUUAUCAAAUGCAUUUGUCAUUUAUGCUUUCUUUAUUGUCUUCCUUAUGUUGUUACUAUUUAGUGAUAGAUGAUUUGUUUAUUUGGAAAUGUUGUAUGGUUUUCAAUGCAGAGGUUUGCUUAUCUGAAAAUGUUUUAUGGAAUGUUGGAAUGGUAUAUGUACUACUUGAAAAUGCUUCAGAGAGUUCAUUAACUUGUUUCUCUGUCUUCUCUGCACCUGUUCUAUUACUUAAAUCUAUGGCAGCUUUUAUGCGCAAGGGAGACCCCAUUUUUCUAUGUAUGUACAAUUUGAGUUAUCUGACUCCUACAGCUAAUGGGUUGGUUACUUGGUUAGCGUUGAAAAUUAGGAUUUUCAAAUAUGAACUAUAGCAGGAAGGACUUAUCAGAUGGCUUUGUCAUUUUCACUGUUGCAGAUGACGACGGUAAGUAGUAUUUAUUGGAAAAUCUAGUAGGCAUAAUGAUUCUAUUGCACGCAAAAGCAAAGGAUUCUUUAUGACUUUAAUGGAAUCAAACUCAGCAUGUAGGGUAUGCAUACAUUUCUCUCUUGUUUUGGCUACUAUUUUUGCUGUGAGAAAUUAAGAAAGUAGAAACUAGAACUCCUCUGGUGAAUGAAAACUAAAGGCCACACAUGUUUACUCUUCUUGUCAUUUUUAGUUGUUGAGAAACUAAAGCUAAAUUUUUUUCGAGUUGCCCUUAUAUUAAGAUCUGAUUGAUGAGGAUUUAGAAAUACAACCAAUGUUACUACAUAAAAUAUCUGCCAAGUGCAAGUCUUUUAUAUCUCCUUGAUCUGAUCUGCAUCUUUGAACCCCUUAAUUCUUUUUUAUUUCUCAGCCAUCAACAACAUAUAAAACCACCUUUAUUUUCGUUGUUGUCUCUGUUACAAAAUGAGGUGUUAAUUUAGGGACAUGUUAUUUGGGCAUUUGACAUUG